rnacentral:rRNA from 1 species
UACAGAGGGGGCAAGCGUUGUUCGGAAUUACUGGGCGUAAAGGGCUCGUAGGCGGCCAACUAAGUCCGACGUGAAAUCCCCAAGCUUAACUUGGGAACUGCGUCGGAUACUGGAUGGCUUGAAUUCGGGAGAGGGAUGCAGAAUUCCAGGUGUAGCGGUGAAAUGCGUAGAUAUCUGGAGGAAUACCGGUGGCGAAGGCGGCAUCCUGGACCGACAUUGACGCUGAGGAGCGAAAGCUAGGGGAGCAAACGGG